GGGGUGGCGGCAGCCUGGCCGAAGGUGAAGUGGAUACUAUCGGCUCGCAUUUGGUCGACUCUAAUUGGCUAUUUCCUGUUGAAAUUAGUGGACCAACUAGAUGUAGAUUAGUGGGUGUACAAGAUUCUUUCAUUGUAAAAGACUUAGAUCAUACACUAGAGAGAAAGAUGGGUAAAAGAGGGAAUUGAAAUGUCUGACCAUCAACACAGUUGGCA
rnacentral:lncRNA from 1 species